CCUACGGGCGUCAGCAGUGGGGAAUAUUGGGCAAUGGACGAAACUCUGACCCAGCAAUGCCGCGUGAAUGAAGAAGGUCUUCGGAUUGUAAAGCUCCUUAGUCCGGGAAGAAUACAAUGACGGUUCCUGAAGCAUAAGCUCCGGCUAACUACGUGCCAGCAGCCGCGGGCAUACGUCGGGAGCAAGCGUUGUUCGGAAUGACUGGGCGUAAAGGGUGCGUAGGCGGUUAUACAAGUUAGAAGUGAAAUACCAAGGGCUUACCUCGGGUGAUGCUUCUAAAACUGUAAGACUUGAGUGCAGUAGAGGUUAGUGGAAUGCCUGGUGUAGCGGUGGAAUGCGUAGAUAUUAGGAGGAACACC
rnacentral:rRNA from 1 species